AGCAGUAUGGUGUAUCGUGCACACGGGGUUUCUUUGAACGGGAGGAAAUAUACCCCCGAGGUCCUCGUUCGAAUCGAGGUACUGCUC